CUCCUGAAACUGGAGCAGCUUUUGAGAAGAAAUCUGCCCAAUACUGAAAUGAACACCAUCCUCGGGUUGUAAAAUAAGAGAGAUGCUUCCGGAGGCCGGAGACUGAGCCUGUCCUGUUCUGUCCUGCGUCCCUGGCACCUGGAAUAGGGCCCAGCACACAGUAGAUGGAGAAACUGAGGCCCAGAGAGGGGAAGCGAUGUGUCUCAGGUCACAGAAAAAGCUAGCGACAGACAAUGGACUCAAACCCACGGCACCGUCUGGGCUUUUGCCUCUCUUCUCGGCCCGUCCUUCUGUCCCGCCCACCCUUCCCUCCCACGGGCCUGCAGCCAAUCUUUCCCAAGUGCCACUUUGGGCCAGCCUGGUGCCCUGGGCCCUGGGCUUCCUGCCCUGGAAGCUCAGGCUGCCUGAGGCUAUGUCAUUGCCACUUCCUCCUGUCAGACCUCCAGAGCUGCCUGCCCCUCCUCCCCACACCCUGUCCCGGCCACAGACUCUGCUACUCGUUUAAAAAUCCUGAUGCCCAGGUUGCUCCCCAGACCAAUGAGAUCAGAAUGUCUGGCAGGGGCGGUGGGGGGGGGGGGGGGGUGGUCCAGGCAUCAGGGUUUUUUUUUUAAGAUGUCUGGGUGAUUCCAUUUGUAGCAAAGUUUCGAAACCUCUGUUUUAGCCUUGAUAAAUGGCACCUCCACCUCCUGUUCCUUGGCCCCUAGGCUGCAGAUAUUCUUUCUCGGGAUCUACUUUCUGGAUGCCUGGGCCUGGGCCCCAGGACAGUUCUCAGCUGGGCAAUCCCAACUCCUUCCUGCUCCUGCCCUUUGCCCAACAGGUCUCCGGUCUGCCGAGACUGCCUGUUCUGAUCUGCCUCACCACUGCCAGGAACUCACUAAAUAUUUGUUGUUAAUGAUGUUGAUAAAUAUUUGCUGUUAAUGACCUCAGUCUGACCAAGAGGAUCCUUGAUGUAGAAGAAAGAAAAGGGCUUUUUUUUGGUCUUCUAUGUGGGACGCUGCCACAGCAUGGCUUGAUGAGUGAUGCGUAUGUCCGCGCCCAGGACCUGAACUGGGGAAGCCCAGGCUGCGGAAGCAGAGCACAUGAACUUAACCUUUUGGCCGUGGGGCGGGCCCCAAGAAAAGGGCUUUGAGGUGAGGCAAACUUGGACUCUAGUACCAGCCAGUUCUGCUUUCUGUGUCUGGGUCUCAGUUUACUCAGCUGUGAAGGGAGGUGGAGCAGAGGGAAAAAUGCCUACCUUGUAGUUUGUUAUCAGGAUCAAAGAUACUAUCUAAUAUUUGUACAGGGCCAGCAGCUUGUGACCGGUUCCUCUGGCAACAGGCUGCUCUUGCCCAGGUGGUGGGGAAUGGCGACUGUUUCCAUGGGGAGGAAGUAAAACCUCAGGAAGGAAGGUGGCUGUGAGCCUUCCGAAAAGGACCCUGCCCAAGGGGGCUUCCUCCCAGGGCAGGACAACUGCAGCAGAGAGGUGAAAGGAGGGUGCGGAAGUGGAGGGGUGGGGGUCAUAUGGGACUGGCUAGAGAGUGCCACCACCUUGCCUGGGAGUGCCACGUGCAGUCCCUGCUGGGGAGUUCUCUUGGGAACCCACAAAAGUGCCCCAAGAGGACAGAAUCAGCAUUUGGGUACCUGCUGUGCCCAGAGGCACCGAUGCCCCGUUGCAACCACACCAGACAAAGAACACAUUUGCUACCUCUAUCUCAUCCUCUGAGCUAUCAGGAAGGAGAAACUUUAGACUGAAAAGGACACGAAAAUUUUGAUCGCAAACCAGACCAUACUUUUUAAGAGACCUAGAAAGUGAGACUGUGCUUGUCCACCUGAGAGGGAAAAGCUACAGGAGCAUCUCAAGCAGGAGCAAGAGUCUCCAGAGAAGUUAAAGGGGCUCUGGCUGGAAGGAGUCCUGGGGCCACCUGUGCCACGCCGAAUCGGCUCGGUCCAUGACUGGUUCCCCUGGGACUUGUCUUAUGAAGCCAGUCUGGGCUAGACAUUGAUGGGACUGCUGCCAAACGCCAAACGCCAAACGCUGUGUGGCCUUAGCAGGCCCUUUAUUUCUCUGAGCCUCAGUUUCUCUAGCUGUGAAAUGCCUCUGUUUUCAAAGAGCCUUGCCUGACUGUGCCAGUCUGUAGAAAGAUCUGAGAUCUCUCAGUUCCAAGCAGGAAAAUUAAAUGUGUCCUGAGCCCAGAGUCUGAAGCAAACUCUGGAGGACCUCAGGAAGCCAGGCAGGCGAAUCUGAAAUCAAGCGGCAAGCUGAAAAAUGAUCUCCUCUGUAUAGUGAGGAAAUAAAAAUGAUAUUAAAUUUGCUGUUUAAAAGAUGUUGACUGCAAUGUUAUUUUUAACAGUUUUAUUGAGACAUAAUUUAUAUACCAUAAAAUUUACCUCUUUGAAGUGUGUAAUUCAAUGACUCAGUGAGUUUACAGAGUUGUGCAACCAUCACCACAAUCUAAUUUUAGAAUUAGAUUCUGACUCGGAUGAUUCAAUCAUCCCAGAGAGAUGUCUCAGGCCUAUUCCCACCCCCAGCUCUGGCAACCACUAAUCUGUUUUCUGUUCUUACAG
ensembl:lncRNA